CAGUAGCCACGGUAAUACGAAGGGUGCAAGCGUUAAUCGGAAUUACUGGGCGUAAAGCGUGCGUAGGCGGUUUGUUAAGUCUGUUGUGAAAUCCCCGGGCUCAACCUGGGAACUGCAUUUGAAACUGGCAGGCUAGAGUCUUGUAGAGGGGGGUAGAAUUCCAGGUGUAGCGGUGAAAUGCGUAGAGAUCUGGAGGAAUACCGGUGGCGAAGGCGGCCCCCUGGACAAAGACUGACGCUCAGGUGCGAAAGCGUGGGGAGCAAACAGGAUUAGAUACCCGCGUAGUCCCUGUCUCUUAUAA
rnacentral:rRNA from 1 species